AAAUUUGUGGCGCAAAACACUUCUGCAGAUACACACACUCCCCAAGCUCACAGUAAGAGAGUAGAAUAGCAAUGGCGUUGCUCACUGGAAACAUCUCUUCUUUACCUUUCAACUUUUACACUGUUUCUUCCUCAUCACAAGAAUCGAAAGCAGUGAAAAUUAGAGAAGAUUGGAGGAAAAAAUCACGACCUAUUCCUCCUGGUGGGACUUAUCCAGCUAAGGACCACUGCAGCCAAUGUGGUUUAUGCGACUCUUACUACAUUGCCCAUGUCAAGAAUGCAUGUGCUUUCUUGGGGGAUGGCAUGUCUAGAAUUGAAGCUUUGGAGCCUAUUGUCCACGGACGAGGACGGAAAGAAGAUUCGUUGGAUGAGAUUUAUAUGGGAGUGUAUGAGAAUCUGUUGUAUGCUCGUAAAACUCAGCCUGUGGAAGGAGCUCAAUGGACGGGGAUAGUGACAACUAUUGCAGUGGAGAUGCUAAAAGCUGGGAUGGUGGAGGCUGUUGUUUGUGUUCAGAGUGAUCCAGAAGAUCGAUUUACUCCCCGACCUGUCCUGGCAAGGACUCCAGAGGAAGUUAUAGCAGCUAAAGGUGUCAAGCCAACACUGUCUCCUAAUCUAAAUACUCUCGCCUUAGUUGAGGCAGCUGGUGUAAAGCGACUUCUGUUCUGCGGUGUUGGCUGCCAAGUGCAAGCUUUAAGAUCAGUGGAGCAAUAUUUGAAUCUGGAAAAGCUAUAUGUUCUAGGCACUAACUGUGUGGAUAAUGGAAAACGAGAAGGCUUAGAUAAGUUUCUGAAGGCCGCUAGCAGUGAACCUGAAACAGUUCUUCACUAUGAGUUUAUGCAAGACUACAAGGUCCAUCUGAAGCAUUUAGAUGGUCAUAUUGAAGAGGUUCCCUAUUUCUGUUUACCAGCAAAUGAGUUAGUUGAUGUUAUUGCACCAUCUUGUUACAGCUGUUUUGAUUACACAAAUGGCUUGGCGGAUUUGGUGGUGGGAUACAUGGGUGUACCAAAAUAUAGUGGAAUCAACAUGAUGCAGCAUCCACAAUAUGUUACGGUCAGAAAUGAACGUGGUAGAGAAAUGCUAAGCCUUGUCGAGAACCUUUUGGAAAUUACUCCAACGAUAAGUAGUGGUAACCGGCGUCCAUUUGUCGUAGAAACCGUAAAGGCAGAUGAUGAAGCAAAAUUUGGAAGAGGUCCUGCUCAACCUGCUCCAAAGUUUGUUGGAAAUUUAAUUGCAUUUUUUCUCAACAUAGUCGGACCGAAGGGUCUAGAAUUUGCACGUUACUCACUAGAUUACCACACAAUCAGAAAUUAUUUACAUGUAGUCCGCAAGUGGGGAAAGGAAAGAGCUGACAGACACAUGCCAGCAUAUGCAAAGAAAAUUGUUAGCAUGUACAAUCAGAGUGGAGAAAUUGAUCAAAUGCUUUCCAGCAAGUGAAUAAUUUGACGAUGAACCUUUGGUGAUAGCAACUUCUCAUAAAUGGUUAAAAGUAUUAGUCAAAGAUAAUGAAAGCUGACUGGUGGACUAUGAAUUCAAAUGGAGGGGAAGUUUCUUAUCCAGGAUACACAAUCUUCAGGUAGGACAUGCAGCAGUAAGAUACAAGGCCAGUGCCCACCAUCCAACUCAAGUGAACACUUGCAAAGUGAUUGCAUGAUAGAUCAAAGCAUGAAGGAAUGGGCUUUCUCAUGGAUAUAGUUUGUGACCAGGCCAUGUGUAUUCCUCUCUCGACUUUUGUAUGUGGUGGUGAAGCAAUUCUAGAUGGGACACUAGAUAAAGGUUUGCUGCAUGCUUGAUUCAACAGCAUGGGAACUCAUAUGGGUUGUCUAUAUAUGUACUGCUGCUUUGGAUUUUCUUCCUUUUGUUAAAUCUUUUCUGUCAGUAGAUUUUUUAUGUUCUUCUUCAUUGUGAAAUGGGAAAUUUAAGUCAUGUUGGAUCUGAUUGAAAAUCCAAGUAAGUUCAAAUAAAAUUUGUCACCAAGGAGACA